GACAGGGGGCUCGAGCGUUAAUCGGAAUCAUUGGGCUUAAAGGGUGCGUAGGCGGGUUGCUAAGUGUUCUGUGAAAUCCCCCGGCUCAACCGGGGAAUCGCAGGGCAUACUGGCAGCCUUGAGGCAUGUAGGGGCGGACGGAACUGUAGGUGGAGCGGUGAAAUGCGUAGAUAUCUACAGGAACGCCGAUGGUGAAGACGGUCCGCUGGGCAUGUCCUGACGCUGAGGCGCGAAAGCGUGGGGAGCGAACAGG
rnacentral:rRNA from 1 species